GCAUAGUUCUUUGCUUUGCCUCACUUACUCAGCAUAUUUAAUUUUUAUUCAUUGAUAUUAUGUCUCUCAAUUGUUCAUUCCUUUGUAGUAGUGAGUAAGUAGUCUAUUUUGUGGAGGUACCAAAGUUUGUUUAUUUAUCUGUUGAUGGACAUUUGAGUUGUUUCCAGGUUUGGAUAUUACUACAAGUCUUUGUAUAAACUUUAGUUUAUCUCAGGGAAGUACCAAAGAAUAGAAUUAAUGGAUCAUAUGAUAGAUUGUUGCUUAACAUUUUAAGAAACUGCCACACUGUUUUUCCAAAGUGAUUCUACUAUUUUCCAUUUCUCACCAGAAUUAUAUGAGAGUUCUCAUCCUCUGCCUCAUGCCUGUCUCCUGCCAACACUUGAAGGGCCAGUCUUUUACAUGGAAGGUCUGGUGUAACAGGCUCAAGUAUACCUGAAUGGAGAAAAGCAGACAUGAUUGAAGCGCAUUUAUAUCCACUAAUUAAAAGCAUGUCAAGCAAAUCCCUGUCUUCUCGAGAUCCAUAAGGAGAAGGAUUUCCUGAAACAGAAACUCUUGUCUUCACUGCGCAGGUCCUGCAGACUUCUUCCUGAUGUCCAUGAGGAAGAAGCAAGACACGUUAGAAGGCUAUUGUGAUCGCCACAUAAGAGAUGCCUGUGGCUUGGACCAGUUGGCCAUGAAUGUGAGCGAGGGUGGAAUCUGGUUGUAUGUUGAAGGCAGAGCCCAAGGAUCGUCUGAGGAAGCCCAUGUAGUGUAUGAAAGGGAAGAGUCAAGAACCGCCCCAAGGCUUUUAGGUAAGGUUACUGAGUUUCUGCUCUGCACCACGCUCUGUGUUCAGCACUUUUUACUCAUUAUUUCACUCGUUGAAUCAUGAAACGAUAAUGGGUUAGGUAUAAAGAUCCUCACCAUGCUACGGAAUUGAAGUAACUUGCCCAGGUCAUGUCAGAGGAGCAGCGACAGACACAGGUGGAAACCUGAGACUGUGUUAAUAGCACUCUAGACAUUCAUCUUCGCUCUCCUUCCAGAUGCCAAGGGGAGCAUAAAACUGGGAGCUGAUUCUCAAUGUUGGCUUGAUUUUUCAGUCAUUACUUGCCAACACCAUCCCCUUUUCUGUUUCUGUGUCAGUUUCUUGUGUACGAGAACUGGGAUAAGACGAUUCUGACGCUAUGCUUAGUUCACAGCCUCUAGUUAAGAACAAUAAAAAAUAACUUUGCCCAGUUGGUUCCGUUUAC
rnacentral:lncRNA from 13 species